rnacentral:rRNA from 1 species
UACGUAGGGUGCGAGCGUUGUCCGGAAUUAUUGGGCGUAAAGAGCUUGUAGGCGGUUUGUCGCGUCUGCUGUGAAAAUCCGGGGCUCAACCCCGGACUUGCAGUGGGUACGGGCAGACUAGAGUGUGGUAGGGGAGACUGGAAUUCCUGGCGUAGCGGUGAAAUGCGCAGAUAUCAGGAGGAACACCGAUGGCGAAGGCAGGUCUCUGGGCCACUACUGACGCUGAGAAGCGAAAGCAUGGGGAGCGAACAGG